rnacentral:misc_RNA from 1 species
UGCAAAUAGGGACGACACGACAAAAUUUCAAAUCGCACUCAGAAUGGAGAUAGAAAAGGCCCUGCAUGAGUCAGCGGCCCGUUAUUUACAGCAGUCUGGGGGCAUGGAUCGCUUGAAGGCCGCCCUGGUGGCCCAGGCCACGCUCUCCCCCGUGCCCAAGAUUCUCAAAGUGCCAAUCCUUGUGAAUCUCAUGGACGUGCGGGAGGUAGACGAGUGUCUAGCAGAAACGGUGAUGACGGACCCUGUGCAAGCGCAACAGCUGUUCCAUAAAGUGCUGCACGUCGUAGCCAUGUCCAUCCUGUCGAGUCUCCGCCCUUCCAUCACCUCGGGAGACGACCAUUGUCCGCCGGCAGCAACGACCGUCCCGCCAAUCCUGAACGACCAGGUGUCGCUCUACCCGAAGGAGGAUAAGGAUAAGGCGAACAAGGAUGAGGAUAUGGUAUCGGUGGAUUUUGAUCUUUCUCUCCAGUGUCUGUCACCCGAACUGUCUCCCGAUCAUUCCUCCCUGGCUGACGAGGCAGAGACCAUCACCGCGGCGCAGAUUUACGCCCCGCUACGUGUGAGCGGUAUCCCUUGGGUCAAGGAGUGGAUGGUCAGCAGUGUGCGGGAUUUGCCUUUGCAUCUGAAGGAGCCGAUCCUGGCUUUGCUGGCUGGCAGGGUUUUGGCCGUGUCCUUGCCGCAGUCCUACACGGUCUGGGCGCGGUAUGUCUGCAGUAACUCCGACUGCGUUGGCACGGUAAAGGACCUUCACGUAAGAGUCUUCAGUGUCGGGCAUGAUGAGGCGGAUACAGUGCAUCGGCAUCCACUCUGCAGGGUGUGCGGGUUCUCCUUGGUGGAGGACCCUUCCGCGAGGGAGCUCGGGGAGAAGGCGCAGGUGGUGCUCGUGCCAGGCGAAAGGUCGAGCCUCAGGGAGUCACAGGCAGAGCACGCCAGAUACCAGACGCUCACCCUCGUUCUCAGAGAUGAGAUGCUGCAGGGCGUGGAGCCGGGCCAGAGCCUUGAGGCCACUGUGAUGUUGGUGCCGAGGGCGUUUCCGGCGCUGCCAAAGUUGGAGGCUAUACUCGUCCAUCCGCCUCGACCCCUGAAACCGCAUUCCGCGCUUCCGUCUUUUUUUAGACGCCUGGUAGAAGACCGACAGUCAUCGCCAUGGUCUCUGGUGGUGACCCUGGCAUACAUGUUCGCAUCGACGGUGACACCUGCGGGCACCUUCCACACCUUCAAGCUGGCUCUCCUUCUCUCCCUCGCCUCUUGCUCGUCGUAUAAGGCAGGACUGGCGGUCCUAGGCGUGGGGAGCAACACGACUCUCUUGCUGCGCCUCCUGUGGUACGGUAGUCGCUACGCCCCUCGUAAAAUCCAUCACUCCUCCCUGGACUCCGUGUCUGGCGUGUGCGUGAAGGAGCCCGACGGCCAGGUGUGGGUGCAGGGAGGAUCCUUGCUCAUGGCCCAUGGGGGGGUAUGUGUCUUGGGCGACUUCUCCACCUUCAGAAAGGACGUCAGGCAGGCAGUGUGUCGAGCUCUUGAGAGCGGCGUGGUUCAUGUGCAGUCACCAUCCCACCUUCGUCACAAAACGCCGCCUCACAGGUACCCACUUCGAUCUGCAGCAUGGGCGUGCUACGAUCCCGCCCAUGGCCGCCCACGCUCCUCAACUGAACAUGAUGAUACCUUCCUCCACGUUCCACUGGGGGACCUUACUAAGUCUAUCACAGAUAUCUUUGGCUUAGUGAUAUACUGUGAGACACCUGAUGGCGAAUGUGAGAGAGAAGCAGAGGAAGUGAUCACUCUACAGACCCUCUUGGACAGCACGAAUCCCAAGGUACCUCCUCAGCCUCUGCUGCCCCCUGACCAACUCCAGCAGCACGCAGUCUCGAUGUAGAAUUCAGCCCAGAGGCAGAAAAGUUAAUACGAGGGUAUUAUGUCGCCACUCGGAGACUUCGAGGCGACUGUGUACAAGGUGCCUCUGUGCCCAUCACUGCCAUCCACACCCUGGCUCAAGUUGCAUCUUGUCAUGCUCGUCUAGCUUUGCGCAAGACGGUAGAAUGUUGGGAUGCCGUCGCAGCUGUGAUGUUGAGUGAGGAGGCCUUGGCAGCUCACUCAGGCUACUCUCUCCUACAGGUGAACCCUGUUC